rnacentral:rRNA from 1 species
UACGUAGGGUGCGAGCGUUGUCCGGAAUUAUUGGGCGUAAAGAGCUCGUAGGCGGCCUGUCGCGUCGGAUGUGAAAACUCGGGGCUUAACCCCGAGCCUGCAUUCGAUACGGGCAGGCUAGAGUUCGGCAGGGGAGACUGGAAUUCCUGGUGUAGCGGUGAAAUGCGCAGAUAUCAGGAGGAACACCGGUGGCGAAGGCGGGUCUCUGGGCAUGUCCUGACGCUGAGGAGCGAAAGUGUGGGGAGCGAACAGG